CUCAAGGAGAGCCUUUUCCAGGGGCCGGGUGAUUUUCAGAGUGGAAUCUGGCUGUUCAGUUAACCGAAGAAGCUCUGCCAGUAAAGAAAUACCCUUUUCCUGAGGGAGUUACAAGACUCAUCCAUGGAGGAAAAUGCCAAGUGUUUAAUAAUAAGGCCUGUACCUCGUCACUCCAAGAGCGUGGAGAAAAAAGUUGCAGAGGGUUUCAAGACAAGGCAAGUAUAAAUCCUUCUGAAUGACAAUGGACUGAUCCUUCUGGAAGCGAUUCAAACACAUCAACAAAAGAACUCAAUCACACACAAAAAAAUGGUUUGUUUACUUCUGUAAAGUUUUGCUUCUUCCUGCUCCUCAUUUUUCUGGUGGAUUGAUAGCUUUUCUUAUGGUAUAUUUUCAAAAACUCCUGCUUCAUUAAACCAACCUGUUUGUAGACGGGUGUCUAGGGUCAGGUGAACUCAUUCAGACUCAGGGUGGCGUAGUUCACACCUCGUAAGAAACAACUUCAGGCCCCAGUGACUCACCGUGGCAGGAGCCUUCUCCUCGUGGGUGCAAAUCCUGCUGAAGGUCCCCACCACCCUCCAGGCCACCUCUGAUCUAUGCGCUUCAGCUCUCCAGCCCCCUUACAUCCACACUAUCACUGCAUAAUGGAAAAUGGGCUGAGAGAGGAGCAGUAGGAAGCAUACAGGAUGCUUCCAGCGAUAUUUCUUUGGUUAAAGCAAGUUACACCGUGAUGCCUAAUUCUAGGGAGAUGGGGAAGCCUGAUCCUUCGGUGGGCACAGAGUCAGUCGAGAACCAAAUGAUGAUGAAAUGAAAGUGAAAGUUGCUUAGUCGUGUCCAACUCUUUGCAACCCCAUGGACUAAUACAGUCCAUGGGAUUCUCCAGGCCAGAAUACCAGAGUGGGUAGCCUUUCCCUUCUCUAGGGGAUCUUCCCAACCCAGGGAUCGAACCAAGUCUCCCGCAUUAUAGGCCGAUGCUUUACCAGCUGAGCCACCAGGGAAGCUGAACCAAAUGAUGAAGUUAGAACAUCUGCCGCAGGGACCCCGAGAAUGUGGCUGGAAAGUGCAUGUUGAGGGAGGUGUGCCCGGAUGUUCUCUGUGGACGGAAAACUACCACCACCUUCAGACUUUAAAAAUAAGUGAUAGGAGUUCCACCUCCUCUGUUAUCCUUGACGGGGUAACAGAGGGGAGGUUACCUCUCCUUCCACAAAGAGAAAAAGAGAAUAUAGGAAAAAUGGGUUCAGACUUUCGACAGGACCUUGAUCACUGCGAGAAGCGGAACAGGUGAGGCCCAUGGUGUCUCCAGAUGUUGCCUGAAUGCUGAUUCCAGGCCCAGAACCGGGAAGGGGGAGCCACAUAGAGUUUUGUGGUCUCCCUGAGUUGAAGAGACAGAUCAGAGUUUGGGGAGAUGAAGGUGGCUAGGAUGAGAUGGGCAGAAAUCAGGAGAGAAGGGAGCUAAAGGAAGGGCUGGUCAUCUUCUAGAGCGCUGCACCUGAGUCCCCUGGAGACAAGGCUUUGGCUGAAGAUUGCCCCAUGCAUCCCUAUGAGGUCACUGCGGGAGGACAGUGAUAGAACCAGCAGAAAUCAAUUCCCAGGACUCACAGAGGGCUGGGAAUACGUCACAGAGCCGCCAGCCAGAGCGGGAAGACAACCUGCUGCAGGCUACUGGGGGAUCUCAGAAAGGCGUCCCUCCAGAGGGGGCUCACGUGUGUCCCCCCCCCACGAGCCCAGUCUCCUGCCUGGACUGAAGGGAACCGUCUCUCCUGCUCACCGCCUUUCUGUUCUAUGCGUCCAGCCCCCUCUUCCCACCCCUGGCCUUUCUGCUUGCUAUCCUCUGGGCUGAGCGAGGUCCUCGGUAACUAAGUCAUGGCGUCUCCUUGGGAAUCCAGGUGAAGCAAUAAUCAUCAGUCAGUGUUAUUAAGUGAAGGAGUGAAUGCAGCCUGAGGUUUCCGUACCCAGCUGGGAAGGACCCGGUGAGCAGGGUAACCUGGACGGAGGAGCACUUAACGUGCCAUUCUAGGUGCAGUCCUGAGCUCAAAACUUCUGUUAUGAACCCUCCCUUCCCCACUUCACCCAUUCAUCAGUUACAUCUGAUGGCUAAGAAACAGAACAGAAAUCCACUGUUAGUAUCUGAUGGCCAAAAAUACCUGGGUGUCUCUUGGAGAAGGCUUCCCAGGUGGCACUAGUGGGAAAGAAACCCGCCUGCCAACGCAGGAGAUGCAGGAAGACACAAGUUCGGUCCCUGGGUCGGGAAGAUCCCCUGGGGCAGGAAAUGACAACCCACUCCCCUAUUCUUGCCUGGGAGAGCCCAUGGACAGAGGAGCCUGGCGGGCUGCAGUCCAUCAGGUUGCAGAGUCGGACAGGACGUAGUGACUGACCAUGCGUGCACCCAGACAA